rnacentral:miRNA from 1 species
AGAGGCUCCUUUCUCGAGUGGG